rnacentral:rRNA from 1 species
GAUGAACGCUGGCGGCGUGCCUAAUACAUGCAAGUCGAGCGAACAGACGAUGAGCUUGUUCCUCUGACGUUGGCGGCUGACGGGUGGGUAACAAGUGGAUAACCUACCUAUAAGACUGGGAUAACUACGGGAAGCCGGAGACACUACCGGCUCAUAUAUUCAACCGCAUGAAUCAAUGGUUAUAGACGGCUUUGCUGUCUCAUAUAGAUGAAUCCGCGCCGCAUUAGCUAGUUGGUAAGGUACCGGCCUACCAAGGCAACGAUGCGUAGCCGACCUGAGAGGGUGAUCAGCCACACUGGAACUGAGACACGGUCCAGACUCCUACGGGAGGCAGCAGUAGGGAAUCUUCCGCAAUGGGCGAAAGCCUGACGGAGCAAUGCCGCGUGAGUGAUGAAGGUCUUCGGAUCGUAAAACUCUGUUGUUAGGGAAGAACAAAUGUGUAAGAAACUAUGGACGUCUUGACGGUACCUAAUCAAAAAGCCACGGCUAACUACGUG